rnacentral:rRNA from 1 species
UACGAAGGGGGCUAGCGUUGCUCGGAAUCACUGGGCGUAAAGGGUGCGUAGGCGGGGCUUUAAGUCCGGGGUGAAAUCCUGGAGCUCAACUCCAGAACUGCCUUUGAUACUGAAGAUCUUGAGUUCGGGAGAGGUGAGUGGAACUGCGAGUGUAGAGGUGAAAUUCGUAGAUAUUCGCAAGAACACCAGUGGCGAAGGCGGCUCACUGGCCCGAUACUGACGCUGAGGCACGAAAGCGUGGGGAGCAAACAGG